GUGCUACCUGUGGAGUUCUCUGAACAAUGUCCAUCGUUGGCCUACAUGGUAAUGAGAUGGUGCUGAGUUCGGCCCCUAAAGAAUGUGGCUAUAAAGUAGUAAAAUCCAUGGGGAAGAUCUCCUUGACUGUUCUGUUUACAUCCUGUGGAGUUCACAAAGUGGAGAACUUCUUUGUGCUGAAUCUUCAUUAAUACCAAUUGUUGGACACC